UCUUGCGCAAUGGGCGAAAGCCUGACGCAGCAACGCCGCGUGGGGGAUGAAGGCUCUCGGGUUGUAAACCCCUUUCAGCAGGGACGAAACUGACGGUACCUGCAGAAGAAGCCCCGGCCAACUACGUGCCAGCAGCCGCGGUAACACGUAGGGGGCGAGCGUUGUCCGGAUUUAUUGGGCGUAAAGAGCUCGUAGGCGGCUCAGUAAGUCGGGUGUGAAAUUCCAGGGCUCAACCCUGGAACGCCACCCGAUACUGCUGUGGCUAGAGUCCGGUAGGGGAGCGUGGAAUUCCUGGUGUAGCGGUGAAAUGCGCAGAUAUCAGGAGGAACACCAGCGGCGAAGGCGGCGCUCUGGGCCGGUACUGACGCUGAGGAGCGAAAGCAUGGGUAGCGAACAG
rnacentral:rRNA from 1 species